rnacentral:rRNA from 1 species
UACAGAGGGUGCAAGCGUUAAUCGGAAUUACUGGGCGUAAAGCGCAUGUAGGUGGACUGUUAAGUUUGAUGUGAAAUCCCACGGCUCAACCGUGGAACCGCUGGGUAUACUGGUUGUCUUGAGCCGGCUAGGGGCGAGCGGAACAGACGGUGGAGCGGUGAAAUGCGUAGACAUCGUCUGGAACGCCGAAGGUGAAAACAGCUCGCUGGGGCCGCGCUGACGCUGAGACACGAAAGCCAGGGGAGCGAACGGG